UUGCGUGAUGACAAAAGGCCUUUGGGCCUGAUCUAAUCCCAGCUCGUCGAAUGCCUCACCAAAUACAACGCUAGAGUGCAUCAUGAGAUGAAAUCUCAUCUGACACC
rnacentral:snoRNA from 1 species